UACAGAGGGGGCAAGCGUUGUUCGGAAUUACUGGGCGUAAAGCGCACGUAGGCGGCUUUGUAAGUCAGGGGUGAAAUCCCGGGGCUCAACCUCGGAACUGCCUUUGAUACUGCAAAUCUCGAGUCCGGAAGAGGUGAGUGGAAUUCCUAGUGUAGAGGUGAAAUUCGUAGAUAUUAGGAAGAACACCAGUGGCGAAGGCGGCUCACUGGUCCGGUACUGACGCUGAGGUGCGAAAGCGUGGGGAGCAAACAGG
rnacentral:rRNA from 1 species